GGCGGACGGGUGAGUAAUGCUUACGAAUCUGCCUAUUAGUGGCGGACAACAUCUCGAAAGGGAUGCUAAUACCGCAUACGUCCUACGGGAGAAAGCAGGGGAUCUUCGGACCUUGCGCUAAUAGAUGACCCUAAGUCGGAUUAGCUAGUAGGUGGGGUAAAGGACCUACCAAGGCGACGUCUGUAGCGGGUCUGAGAGGAUGAUCCGCCACUCUGGGACUGAGACACGGCCCAGAUCCUAUGGGAGGCAGCAGUGGGGAAUAUUGGACAAUGGGGGGAACCCUGAUCCAGCCAUGCCGCGUGUGUGAAGAAGGCCUUAUGGUUGUAAAGCACUUUAAAGACGGAGGAGGCUACUUUAGUUAAUACCUAGAGAUAGUGGACGUUACUCGCAGAAUAAGCACCGGCUAACUCUGUGCCAGCAGCCGCGGUAAUACAGAGGGUGCGAGCGUUAAUCGGUAUACUGGGCGUAAAGCGUGCGUAGGCGGCUUAUUACGUCGCAUGUGAAAUCCCCGAGCUUAACUUGGGAAUUGCAUUCCAUACUGGUGAGCUAGAGUAUGGGAGAGGAAGGUAGAAUUCCAGGUGUAGCGGAGAAAUGCGUAGAGAUCUGGAGGAAUACCGAUGGCGAAGGCAGCCAU
rnacentral:rRNA from 1 species